UACGUAGGGUCCGAGCGUUGUCCGGAAUUAUUGGGCGUAAAGGGCUCGUCGGCGGUUUGUCGCGUCGGGAGUGAAAACACGGGGCUUAACCCCGUGCCUGCUUCCGAUACGGGCAGACUAGAGGUAUGCAGGGGAGAACGGAAUUCCUGGUGUAGCGGUGAAAUGCGCAGAUAUCAGGAGGAACACCGGUGGCGAAGGCGGUUCUCUGGGCAUUACCUGACGCUGAGGAGCGAAAGUGUGGGGAGCGAACAGG
rnacentral:rRNA from 1 species